GGAAGCACUGACCAGAGAAUGCCGAGUCAAAUAGAUGCAAUGUUUAAUAAAAAAGUGCCUAUCACAUUCAAUUGAAAAGCCAGUAUGUGUGAAUAGGACGAACAGCUGGUUACGCAAAGCCCAUUGAUCGGGUUCAUUAGAGUUCAUAGAAUUGACUUUUUGGCUAUUACGUGAGUCGGCAAUCGUUUAGACUCUCAAGUGCUAUACAAAACAGAAGCAGCUGCCAGAGUGUGUAUGCGUGUGUGAGCUGGGUGUAUGUGUGUCUGUAACGCUCCCAGCCUCCAAGAGCAAGAAGGCAAACAAAUAAUCUCUCAGUGUGCGUCUGGCGAGCAAACAAGAAGCAACAGACGGAGGAUUGCCAUAUAAUCAAGUCGUCGCAACUGUCCGUGCCAUAGUCUGUGCGUGUGUGUGUAUG